rnacentral:rRNA from 1 species
UACGGAGGGUGCAAGCGUUAUCCGGAUUUACUGGGUUUAAAGGGUGUGUAGGCGGGCUUUUAAGUCAGUGGUGAAAUCUCCGAGCUCAACUCGGAAACUGCCAUUGAUACUAUUAGUCUUGAAUAUUGUUGAGGUAGGCGGAAUAUGUCAUGUAGCGGUGAAAUGCUUAGAUAUGACAUAGAACACCGAUUGCGAAGGCAGCUUACUAAACAAUGAUUGACGCUGAGGCACGAAAGCGUGGGGAUCAAACAGGAUUAGAAACCCUAGUAGUCC